rnacentral:rRNA from 1 species
UACGUAGGUGGCAAGCGUUGUCCGGAAUUACUGGGUGUAAAGGGAGCGCAGGCGGGAAGCCAAGUCAGCUGUGAAAACUACGGGCCUAACUUGUAGACUGCAGUUGAAACUGGUUUUCUUGAGUGAAGUAGAGGUUGGCGGAAUUCCGAGUGUAGCGGUGAAAUGCGUAGAUAUUCGGAGGAACACCGGUGGCGAAGGCGGCCAACUGGGCUUUAACUGACGCUGAGGCUCGAAAGUGUGGGGAGCAAACAGG